UACGUAGGUGGCAAGCGUUGUCCGGAUUUACUGGGCGUAAAGGAUGCGUAGGCGGACAUUUAAGUCGGGUGUGAAAUCCCUGGGCUCAACCCAGGAAGUGCACUCGAAACUGGCGAGCUUGAGUACUGAAGAGGGUCGCGGAAUUCCCGGUGUAGAGGUGAAAUUCGUAGAUAUCGGGAGGAACACCAGUGGCGAAGGCGGCGACCUGGGCAGAUACUGACACUGAGGUGCGAAAGCGUGGGGAGCAAACAGG
rnacentral:rRNA from 1 species